AUUAAUUGAAAUUUAUAAAGAAUAUUAGUAAAAAUGUUUGAAGAAUUAGAUAAUUUUUUUAAAUUCGAUUAUAAUAGUAGAAAAUUACAUAAUAAAAAUACAAAAAAUAUUUAUUCAAAUACAGUAUUAGAUGUAAUAUCAGAGAAACAAUAUAAUAAAGAAAUUAAUAUCAGCAAAGAAAAAAAAAAUAUUGAAGAAUUAGACAAUGUUAAAACUAUUAAUUAUCCUGAUAUUAAUACAAAACAAUAUAUAUCAAUUUUAAAUAAAACAUCACGUAAAGUUCCUAAUAUUUUAAAAAAUAAGUCAAAAUCAGAGAGAAUUUUUGAAGCAGAUGCAACAAAAUCAAAUUCUUUUAAAGAUGUAACAAAUAAAGAUGAACAUGAAAGUUUAUUCAAUCCUGAUUUAAUAUCAGAAUAUAACUCAUCUGAAAAUAUACUUACUAAAAAAGAAAAAAAGCAUAAAAGAGUAUCAAGGAGAAGAAAACAAGAACUUAAUUUUACAAAUAUUUGUCAUGAAUUACCAAAGUGGAGCAUUUGUUCUUUUGUUGAUGAUAAAAAAAAAAUGAUAGGCAAAAAAUUAGGUAAACCAAAAACAUUAGAAAGUCUCACACAAGGAAAAAAGUUAAAACAUCAUUCUAAAAAACAAAAUAAAAAACAACAAAUAUCUAUUCUUAAAAAUAAAGGAAAGGAGAAAUACUUACCUUCAAUAUCUCAGGAUAUAUUGACAGAUUAUAAUUCUGAAUGUCAGAAUCUUUCAUUCUCAAAAGAAAUUGAAUCAAAUGAUUUGGAAGAUUUAAUUGAUUUCUCUAGCAAUGAAAUAUUUAAUAAGUUUAAUUAUGAAUUUUAUAACAAUAAUUCAGAUUGUUAUACAUGCUAUUCAAUGAAUUAUGAAACAUGUAACCCUUUAAAUGCAAUACACGAAAGUGAUAGUUAUGAAAACAUAUUUGAUAUAAAUGACAAUGAAGUUGACAUAUAUAAUACAACAUUAUAUUCUUCUUUAACGGAUAAUGAACAUGACGAAAAGAAUAUUUCAAUAAGAAAAUUUAUGAUGUCUCCAGAUUAUAAAAAUGAAGACUUAUCAUUUAGUGAUAAUAAGUCAAAGUGUUCAUCUGAUUCUUUCUGUAAUUAUUGCUUUGAGGAUUGUGUUUCAAAUUGGAUUGAAACUAGUGCAGCUAGUAUUCAUUCAGAAGCUUUUAAUGAUAUUAAACAGAAUAAUUUAGAUAGUUCAUCUUUUCAUAACCCUAAAUAUAAUGAAUAUCUAAAUGAUGAUAGGGAAUAUAGCAGUAGAAGAUCAUCAUUGACUGAAAGUGAAUGUUCUUUGGAAAUCACAGAUGAUAUUGAUUCACUAUUGACAGAAUUUGAACGUUAUUCGGAUGAAAAAAAAAAUAGCGAGACUGAAAUAUUUAAACAAACAAUAUAUACGCAAAAACAAAAAGAAUACGAUGGAUCGAUGGAAAAUUUACAUGAUACGAAUAUAUUACAAAUUCAAGACGAUAAUGGAACUAAUAUAAGCAAGGAUAAGUAUAAGUGUUUAUCAUGUUCAUUAAAAUUUUCAAACACGCGUACGUUGGCAAUGCAUCAAGCAGGAGCACAUGGAGACACAAAUCAUCUUUAAUUCAUCAUUUAAAAAUAGUGCAUCAUAUUCAUUAUGCUCGUAAUCGUACCGCGACAUUUGUUUGUAAUGUAUGUAACAAAAUCUAUAGUAAAUUUGGUGCUUUCGAAAAUCAUAUGAAGAGUCAUAAAAACGAGCCUGAUUGUAUGGAUACACCUAACGAUGUUACCUCUUAAGUACAUACAUAAGUAUUUAUAUAAAAAUAAUAAUAUAUUUAUUUUCAGUCACUAUAUUUUAUUAUGAUGUAAUAUUAAUUAAUCGUCAAUAUUAGUUAAUUAGUUAUUAAUUGAAAUUUUCUAAAUCCGUACAAAAGUUUAGAAUUGUUCAAUGGAUCUCACUACUAUCGAUUUUCCAAUUAUGUGACAUCCUCAGAUACCAAAGAAAAUUCGUAUGCUUUGACUUAUAAAUAUAAUUUCAUAUAAAAUUUUCUAUCUUAGGAAAUUCAAUCUAUGAAUGUUUAAUAAAUAUUGUUACGCACUGUUGAUCAGUCGCCUAUUUAGUGACCGCUAGAUUCUAGGGAAUAUAUGAGUUCUUAUAUACAUAGUCAUAACAAUUGCAGCGGCAUUAAGUCGUAGAUUUUGAGUUAUAUUAUGAACUUAUAUUAGUAAUAGUUAAUAAAAUAUUGUCAUUGGUAAUAAAUCGAUAAAUUUCAUGAUGAUAUUAAUUGCUGCUGGGAUUGAAACAAAAUACGUAUUUAUUUUUACGAUUAUUAUUCUAUUUUAAUCAAACUAAAAAUAUUUUGAUUCUUUUUUUGAUUCUCAAAGGCAGCAUUAUCUUCACGCGAUUUCAUUAUAUCUCGAUAAAUAUCGUUAAUAUUAUUUUAUUUAAGUUUUUCAAAGUUACUAAAAAAAUAUAAUUAGAUUAUAAAAAUUUUAUAUUUAUAUUUAUUAUUUAUGUUCUGACGUUAUCUUUUUAGAUAUAUUAUUUUAAUAUUAUAAAAUGGUCCUUACUAAUAUUAGGAAUAAUAGUAAAUAGUAAGAUAGACUAAAAAAUGCCAUUGAUUAUUGAUACAUUAAAAAGGAAAAGUAAUGUUUUAUACGAAACCAUUUUGAAAAGUUUGCAAUUAAUUUACUUUCUAAUGUCGAUAUUAUACACAUAUUAUAUAUAUAGGUUAUCAACCUAUAAUAUAUUUGUAGUUGUGUUAUUUAUAUUGACAAAUGAAUAUUUUAAAUUAAAUAUUUUGAUAUAUGAAUUAAAAUAUUAUAUAAUUUAUGUUUAAUCUUCAACUGGUGAUGUAACGUAAAAAUUAUUUCGUGCAUUAAUGAUAAUUUUUUAAUUUCGAACAAAUAUGUUUUGUUAUAUUUCAAUGUAUAACCGAUUGCUAUGAAGAAAAAACAUACAUAUAGGUAUUGUUUUUAUUGCUAUUCUGUUUAGUAUCUAUACUUGGAUUGCAUGAAGAAAUUCUGCUUAAAAGUUAGAAAAA
rnacentral:misc_RNA from 1 species